AUUGAUGUCAGCAAGCACGGCAUGGGCGACGCUUAUGAGGUAUUUGACCAAAUGCCCGCAAUGGGAGUUUAUCUCCUUUUUUUCCCUAUUUUAACGCUAAAUGCUGUUGAAUUGUCACUAAUUGAUUGUUCCGUUCAUUGCUAGUGCCAAUUAUUUCAUGAGCAUGAUGAGUGGUUGUGUGUGCAUAGACGGGAUCAACUGCUCGAUGCCAAAUUCUCAAGUAGAAGAUGUCGUGGAGUUGCUUCGCACUCCGUUUGAUAAGGGGCGAAGAUCGGCCAAUUACACGGUGUGUGAGGAUGAGACAUCGGUGAUGGCAUGGGAGAAUGUGACACUUGAUGCGGUCAUGGGAAAUAAUCAAACCGGUGCCAACUGUUGGAAGGACAUUAUGGAGGAAAAUCAUCGCAAUGCAAAGAUGCCCUCCUAUCAGGAUGAAGUAUUUCGAUUUAUGUUGUGCAUUUGGAUGUUGUAUAUAUAUUGAAAAAUUUGAAGUUAUGGCAUUGUAACAUAUAAGUUUGAAUUCUUGUUAUGUAAGUUGGAGUUGAAUAUGUAUGCAGAGAAGAUAAAUUGAAAGGGAUGAAUGUAGGAGAUGCAGUUUUAAGGGAUCUGUUGGAGUUGAGCACCUUGGAUUGUGCGUGCCUUGAUGAAAUCCCUGUCAAACCGAUGGUUCUUUUGCGGCUCAUAUCAAAUGUCCAUUCCAG
rnacentral:lncRNA from 1 species